ensembl:lncRNA
UUUCUCCCAUAUUUUCUUGGCAUUUCCUGAUUUUUCCCAGAUUUUCCUAGACUUUCCCCACAUUGUCUUAAAUUUUCCCAGAUUUUCCUGCUUUUUUUUUCCCAGAUUUUCCCAGAUUUUUGUGCUUUUUUUCCACAGAUUUUCAGGUUUUUUACCCAAUUUUUCUGCUUUUUUUCCCCCCGAUUUUUGGGGUUUUUUUCCCAGAUUUUUGUGCUUUUUUUCUCCAGAUUUUUGUGCUUUUUUCCCACAGAUUUUUCAGGUUUUUCCCCAAUUUUUCUGCUUUUUUCCCACAGAUUUUUCAGGCUUUUCCCCCAAUUUUUCUGCUUUUUUUUUCCCCAGAUUUUUGGGGUUUUUUCCCAGAUUUUUGUGCUUUUUUCUCCAGAUUUUUGUGCUUUUUUCCCACAGAUUUUUCAGGUUUUUCCCCAAUUUUUCUGCUUUUUUCCCCCAGAUUCUUGGGGUUUAUUUUCCCAGAUUUUUGUGCUUUUUUCUCCAGAUUUUUGUGCUUUUUUCCACAGAUUUUUCAGGUUUUUUUUCCCAAUUUUUCUGCUUUUUUCCCCCAGAUUUUUGUGCUUUUUUCUCCAGAUUUUUGUGCUUUUUCCCACAGAUUUUUCAGGUUUUUUCCCCAAUUUUUCAGCUUUUUCCCCCCAGAUUUUUGGGGUUUUUUUCCACAGAUUUUUCUGCUUUUUUCCACAGAUUUUUCAGGUUUUUUCCCCAAUUUUUCUGCCUUUUUCCCCCAGAUUCUUGGGCUUUAUUUUCCCAGAUUUUUGUGCUUUUUUCUCCAGAUUUUUCUGCUUUUUUCCACAGAUUUUUCAGGUUUUCCCCCCAAUUUUUCUGCUAUUUUUCCCACAGAUUUUUCAGUUUUUUCCUCCAAUUUUUCUGCCUUUUUUCCCCAGAUUUUUCAGGUUUUUUUCCCCAGAUUUUUGGGGUUUUUUCACAGAUUUUUGUGCUUUUUUUUCCACAGAUUUUUCAGGUUUUUCCCCCAAAUUUUUUUUUUCCCCAGAUUUUUGUGCUUUUUUCCACAGAUUUUUCUGGUUUUUUUUCCCAGAUUUUUCUGCUUUUUUCCCCCCAGAUUUUUGGGUUUUUUUCCCAGAUUUUUGUGCUUUCUUCCACAGAUUUUCAGGUUUUUUUCCCAUUUUUUUCCCCAUUUUUUUCCCUUUUUUUUCCCCAUUUUUUUCCCUUUUUUUUCCCAUUUUUUCCCCAAUUUUUUUCCCAUUUUUUUCUCGUUUUUUCCCGUUUUUCCCCAGCUUUCCCUCCCCCAAAUUCCCCAAAUUCCGGGGCUGGUUUGGGGUUGCUUUCAGAGGCUCUGGGGGAUUUUGGGGUCCCCUUUCCUGACCCAACCCCAAUUUCUGCAGCCCAAGCUGACCCCGCAGGAGAAGCUGCGGCUCAGGAUGCAGAAGGCGCUCAACAGGCAGUGUGAGCAUCCCAAAAUCCCCCAAAAAUUCCCCAAAAAUUCCCACAAAAUUAAAAAAAAAUUCCCCCAAAAUUCCCACAAAAUUCCAAAAAAAUUCCCACAAAAAUUCCCACAAAAUUCCCAAAAAUUCCCACAAAAUUUAAAAAAAAAUCUCCCAAAAAUUCCCACAAAAUUCCCAAAAAUUUCCCCAAAAUUUCCCCAAAAAUUCCUGUAAAAUUCCAAAAAAAAUCCCCAAAAUUCCCACAAAAUUCCAAAAAAAUCCUUUAAAAAUUCCCCAAAAAUUUCCCAAAAAUUCCCACAAAAUUCCCCAAAAAUUCCCACAAAAUUCCAAAAAAAUUCCCACAAAAUCCCCCCAAAAUUCCCAAAAAUUCCCCAAAAAAUUCCCACAAAGUUCCCAAAAAUUUCCCCCCAAAUUCCCAAAAAAUCCCCCAAAAAUUCCAAAAAAAUUCCCCACAAAAUUCCCAAAAAUUUUCCCCAAAAUUUCAAAAAAAUCCCCAAAAAAUUCCCCAAAAAAAUCCCAAAAAAUUCCCACAAAAUU